UUGCCUCAGUAACGGCGAGUGAAGCGGCAACAGCUCAAAUUUGAAAUCUGGCCCCAGGCCCGAGUUGUAAUUUGCAGAGGAUGUUUCUGGCGAGGCACUUUCCGAGUUCCCUGGAACGGGACGCCAUAGAGGGUGAGAGCCCCGUACGGUUGGUCGCUAAGCCUCUGUGAAACUCCUUCGACGAGUCGAGUUGUUUG
rnacentral:rRNA from 1 species